GACGAACGCUGGCGGCGUGCUUAACACAUGCAAGUCGAACGGAAAGGCCCUGCUUUUGUGGGGUGCUCGAGUGGCGAACGGGUGAGUAACACGUGAGUAACCUGCCCUUGACUUUGGGAUAACUUCAGGAAACUGGGGCUAAUACCGGAUAGGAGCUCCUGCUGCAUGGUGGGGGUUGGAAAGUUUCGGCGGUUGGGGAUGGACUCGCGGCUUAUCAGCUUGUUGGUGGGGUAGUGGCUUACCAAGGCUUUGACGGGUAGCCGGCCUGGGAGGGUGACCGGCCCCAUUGGGACUGAGAUACGGCCCAGACUCCUACGGGAGGCAGCAGUGGGAAUAUUGCACAAUGGGCGGAAGCCUGAUGCAGCAACGCCGCGUGCGGGAUGACGGCCUUCGGGUUGUAAACCGCUUUCGCCUGUGACGAAGCGUGAGUGACGGUAAUGGGUAAAGAAGCACCGGCUAACUACGUG
rnacentral:rRNA from 1 species